rnacentral:lncRNA from 1 species
UUUCCCACAGUCACCCUUGCGAUGGGACCCUCAGGGUCCUCUCUUCUCUUCCGAGCACCCACGGGAGGGGACUGUGCUGUCCCUGCUCUCCUAGGACAGGCCUCCCUCCUGUCCAGAUGGGGCCCACAGGGUCAGUUGCCUGAGACUGGCUCCAGCUCAAGAAAGGUUUUCUGAGUGAGCGCAGGGGAGCAGGAGGCUGGUGAGCAGCUCGCUUCCUGCCCUGGGUGCAGCUGGGCACCACUUCUGCCUUGGGCCUAAAGGCAUCAGUGAGGAGCAGGCGGGGCCUGGUAGGAGCCUGUGUUUCUAGCGGCACGCGUGACCCCAGGUGCCACGUGGGUGAGUGCGUGGGUGGGUGAGUGGCGAAGGAGCUGAGGUUGGCCCUGGCAGGUGUGCAGUCCUCACACAGAACGGGCAGGGCUCCUGUCAGAGCCAAACCAGCUCAGGGCCCAGUGCAAGCAGCUUCUGUCCCGUGGCACCUCCGCUAGUCGCCGCUCCCACCCAAGCCCUGCCCCGCCCUGACCCGCUCAGGGUUUGGCUACA